CCUACGGGAGGCAGCAGUGGGGAAUAUUGCACAAUGGGGGAAACCCUGAUGCAGCGACGCCGCGUGAGUGAAGAAGUAUUUCGGUACGUAAAGCUCUAUCAGCAGGGAAGAAAAUGACGGUACCUGACUAAGAAGCCCCGGCUAACUACGUGCCAGCAGCCGCGGUAAUACGUAGGGGGCAAGCGUUAUCCGGAUUUACUGGGUGUAAAGGGAGCGUAGACGGCAGCGCAAGGCUUGAGUGAAAUCCCAUGGCUUAACCAUGGGACUGCUUUUGAAACUGUGCAGCUAGAGUGCAGGAGAGGUAAGCGGAAUUCCUAGUGUAGCGGUGAAAUGCGUAGAUAUUAGGAGGAACACCAGUGGUGAAGGCGGCUUACUGGACUGUAACUGACGUUGAGGCUCGAAAGCGUGGGGAGCAAACAGGAUUAGAUACCCCAGUAGUC
rnacentral:rRNA from 1 species